AUACCGGCGGCUCGAGUGGUGGCCACUUUUAUUGGGCUUAAAGCGUUCGUAGCUGGGUUGCUAAGUCCCUUGGGAAAUCCGGCAGCUCAACUGUCGGGCGUCUAAGAGAUACUGGCGAUCUUGGAACCGGGAGAGGUGAGGGGUACUUCAGGGGUAGGAGUGAAAUCCUGUAAUCCUUGAGGGACCACCUGUGGCGAAGGCGCCUCACCAGAACGGCUUCGACAGUGAGGGACGAAAGCUGGGGGAGC
rnacentral:rRNA from 1 species